rnacentral:tRNA from 1 species
GUCCUAUCUAUAGAGGUUUUGAAAACCUCUCAAAAACAUUUAUUUGUUUAUAGGCU